rnacentral:lncRNA from 1 species
AAUAAUAGAUGGACCUUUGUCAUGUUUGUACAAUAUAAAUGGUAAGAAUAGUGUUUUUAUUUAUUUCAGUUAGUCUUGUGUUUUUCAAAGCGGAGCUAUACAACAUACUGGAAAUUUAAGGCAUCCAUUAUGAUUUGAUGAACAAAAAAGGUUAUAAAAAAUCAACAGUUCAAGGGGAAAAAAUGAACAGAUACAUUUAAUAUAAAAAAGAUGUGGUAUGAUUGCCAACUAAACAACUGUCUACAAGAGACCAAAAUGACACAGACAUUAUCAACUAUAGGUCACGGUACGACCUUCAACAAUGAGCAAAGCCCAUACCGCUAAUCACUAAUAAAAAGGCCCUGAAUGAACAAUGUAAAAAUUCAAACGAGAAACUAAUGGCCUUAUUGUAUAAAAAAUGAACGAAAAACAAAUAUGUAACACAUAAACAAACGACAACCACUGAAUAAUGGCUCUGACUGGACAGGCACAUACAUAGAUGAUGUGGCGGGGUUGAACAUGUAAGCGGGAUCCCAACCCUCCCCUAACCUGGGACAGUGUAUAAAAGUGACAUAAAAACGAACUAUAAAAAUCAGUUGAAAAAGGCUAAACUCAUCAUUUUGCUCAUCAGAUGAACAAAAAUUUACUUUUAGAAUGAUUUUGUUUAAAUUCCUAUCGAGCAACAUUAAUAACACCAACAAAAAUGUCUUAUACUGCAUGCAAUAGGUCUACUAUAUUUGAUGUAUGGAAUGAUUGUAAGGUGUACAUGUCUGGCUGGUAGGUGUCAUCUGACCAUGACCUCAUUUUCAUGGUUCUGACAGUGGUUAAAGUUAAGUUUUUGAGUUUUGGUCUUUUAUUCUAAUACUAUAUGCAAUAGGUAACUAUAUUUGGUGUAUGGAAAUAUUUUAUGAUCUUUAUGUCAGUCGUGCAGGUUUUAUUUGACCUUGACCUUAUCUUCACAGUUCUUUGCUCAGUGUUAAGUUUUUGUGUUUUGGUCUGUUUUUCUUAAACUAGAAGCAAUAGGUCAACUAUAUUUGUUGUAUGGAAGAAUUGUUAGCUGUACAUGCUUGUCUUGCAUGGUUCAUCUGACCUUGACCUUAUCUUUAUGGUUCAAAGGUCAAUGUUUAGUUUUCUUGGUUUAUCUUAAGUUUAUGUGACAGUUGGAAUAAAGCUUUAUAUUGAGGACUUAAUAUAAGAAGGCGAGACAUUCCAGUGUGUGCACUCUUGUUGACCUAAGAUGUUAUUUUUAUCAUACAACCAUUAGGAUCUGGCUACAUAUAAAUAUUUCAAAAAUAUUCCUAUUUGUUAAUUCUUAUUCAUGUUUGUAAAUGCUUGCCUAAAAUCAUUCAUAGUGACUGAAUCAAAUGACUUAUUUUCAGAGUAAAAUGAAUAGAAAGGAAACAUGACGAGGUUCCAAUGUUUGAUAUAAGGGGAAGCAGUUAUGAAUUUUGAAAUUGGUUUAAAGGAGAGAUCAUACACCAGAGAAGACUUAAAGUGUACAGGUAGGCAUCUUGACUGGUUGAUUUUAAUGGAGUGAAUAUGGAGAUGUGGUAGGAUUGCCAAUGUGACAAUUAUUCACCAUUGUCCAGAUAUAAGCAACUCUAGGUCAUCAUACUGCUUUCAACAAUAAUCAAUUUUUUUUUUUAAAUACUCUGUGUCCUCCAUUUUCAUUUAAGGUUUUCUACUCGACUCAUGACUCUUUUUGUCUUGUUUGCCCACCUUUUUAUAAAGUAUUUAUCAAUCUGAAUCUUGAUACAAAAUUUAAAGAAAUGACACUUCCGAUAAAUGAUGGAUAAAACCUAAUCGACGAUCCCGGGUCAAUGGACAAAGCAAUGCAAUGUUACGCGACUCAGGUUCGCAUACUUAUUUUAAUUAUUUUGGUAAUCGAUCUAUUUCCGGUAUCAUGUGAUAUUUAUCGUCAUGAACAUUGGUUUCGUUUACAUAAAUUAAACAUCUUUAUAUACGUUUUAAAAUUAAUUUUAUUUUUUUGUUGGAUUUGAACUUUAAUGUCUUGUAUAUUUUUUUACUUGUCCACGGGCAACCAAGACAAAAAUAAUUAUUGUCCGGUUGUUCAAAUGUAUGAGUCGGGUGAGUCAGGCAUAGCAUUUCUACACCCCUGAUUAUUAGUUUUUGAUUACCAAUAAUCGUAGAAAACAGAGAAAAUGUUGUAUUUAAAACAUUUGUAAUAAACAGGGAAUCAUACUUUUAGACAAAACUAUCUGUUGGUUAGAAUUUGAACAGAUUGAGUUUUGAAGCAAGGUUGAAUCUACAUCAGGCCUUAAAAAAAAAAGAUAUGUGUUUCCGGUAACAUCAUUUUGAAAAAUAGGGUCGGUAGGUCGGAAUUCUUUUUUUUUUUUUUUUUUUUUUUUUUUACAUCGUAAAGAAUCCGGAAAUUUCAUGGUUUCCAAGUUCGAUCCGUAAUUAGUUCAAAAACCUAAGGUGCCAUUGCAAUGUUUUUGAAGCACCGCUGUGCAAUUUCUUGAUUUUAACUAUGGCGAGUGACUUAACCAUAAAAUUAAAUUUUAAUCACCUACCUAACACACGGCUAAAUUAAUAUUUAUUUGAAAGCGACCAUCUGUACUAUCUGUUUUGCCCGGUCGUAAAAAAUCUACGUGCAAUCCGUAAAUCAAGAUCAAUGCCAAGAAGAAUAAUGCAUAUUUUCUAAAUUCGCCUAUUGCAUAAUAUGACUUUUAUAUACUAAAUUCACAUAUGCAAACAAUUUAAAUUUUUAGCAGAGAUAACAGUCUUAUUCAAAUGCAUUUUUAAUAUUAAAGUGUUUUUUGACAGAGAGCACAUGUUCCUGAAUUUAGUAAAAGUGAACAAAUGUUGAAAACCCAUUUUUCUUUCUCGUGAAAUCUAAUCAAUAAAACUAAGUAAAAACCUGUAAGACUAUGAAAAAUUUUUGACAUCAUAAAUUCUAAAUUAUGCUUACUUCAAUCAAACAGCAAAUCAUAACACUCAUACAGUUGCCCAAAUACCGCCAUCUGCGAAAAAACAGCUUUAAGCAUUUCUGCCUAUUAAACAUUGUAUUUGUCAUAUAAAAUUAAUAAAAAAUUCUUAAGAUCUGAAAAUUUAAGUGAAAAAAAGUUCGAAUAUCUUAUGCUGAAAUAAAGGGGUGAAAAAUAAAGAUGCAAUCUGCAUUGUAACUACGCAGACUGAAAUAAACAUAUCGACUUUUCUAAUUUUUGAUUUGUAGCUUCAUUAUAAAAUUAUGUAGUGAAAAUACUUGAUCUAUUUAAUGUGAAUAAAAUUUAGACAAAAUAAAUAGAAUAAAUUGAAUAUUUCAAAACUAUAAACACAUAUAAAACUUAAAUUCAUUGCUUAAAUUGCGUUGUUCGUGUUACAUGCAUUAAUUCAUCAAAUAAGAAUAAUUUUGAAAGAAAAAAUAUCCAUAAUACGCAACGAUCUAGUUAAACUAGACUUUCUGAAUAGCUUGUGAUAGUUUAUUUUUCAUACGAGGAUGACUUCAUGCAAGAGUUUCUGAUGACACUUAAAAAAGCUAUCAUUAUCUUGAAACUUCACUUUCCAUUAUAUAGAUGAUGUCAUCUCACUGAAUAGUGCAAAAUUUGUGACAAUGUUGGACUCGUAUUUUCCAUUGAAAUUGAAAAUAAAAGACUCAACAGAUAUAGUUGACUCUAUCACGUAUCUUGAAAUCGAUGAUGAGGGUUGGUUGAGAACAAAGUUUACGACAAAAGAGAUGAGCAUAAAAACAACCCAUAAAAACACCCCUUACUACCAAAUUAUAAACUUUUCAUUCUAUUUAACAACAUUAUAGCAACGCCUGCAUAUCUAUACUACUAAAGGAGGAGACCGAUUUCAUUGAGCCUCAACUCCUCUGAAAUAAGGCAACUAUAGUAUACCGCUAUUCAAUAGUCAUCAAUCGAUUUACUAGUAACUGAAAUAAAUCCGGGUCACAAAGCAAGAACUAGGAAAACGCAUCAACUAUAAUAGGAACACAACGAUAUAACAGAAACACAGAACUGCUACAAAAACAAACGCCAACAUACAAAGAAACAGAUUAUUCGAUACCAAUUGCCAUAUGCCUGACUUGGUACAAGACAUUUGAAGAAAAAUGGUGGUUUAAACACGUUUGGAACCAGAGUUCAAAUACAAAGUUGAAAUCAUCCCUUUGAAAAUUUCAUGGACGCCAAUACGAGUUGGUUGACAAUUAUGAGCUAUCUGUUUCGCCAGAUGACGACUAAUAAGUUCCAUCGACGUAACCAAAUUGCCGUCAUUUCUGCUGUGAAUGUCACCAACGAAAUAAGGCUUGGCACCGAGUUAGGAAAAUACAUGAGCCAGCAAGACAGGUUAAAGAGAGCCGUGGUGUGGUGGUUAGUGCAUCGGACUACUAACACAAAGGUUCCUUGUUCGAUUCUCGUUCCGUGAUGAAAAUUUCAGGGACUGAAUUUUCGCUCUUUCCUUGACACCAUUGUGAGUAUGGUCUGACCCGUGUUAAGAGAGAGCCAUAUCUCUUGCACGUUAAACACACCUUUGUAGAUUUCGAAAAAAGGCAGGCUAAUGCCGCUACAAGCAGCACUCGCACCCGCAAAGUGGAAAGCGAUUAAUUUAAAUUGCAAAACUUGUUCCCAAUCCACUAUAAAUAAAUAUAUUUAAACUAAGACGGGUGUCACAUGUGGAACAUGAUCUGCCUACCCUUUGGGAGCCCCUGAAUUCACUCAUUUUUUUUUUUGGGGGGGGGGGGUUGUGUUACUCAAUCUGUAGUUUUAUAUGUUAGUUUUGUUGCUUGUCUUGUUCGUUUUUUUGCCCGGCUUGUCAGUUCGUUUUUUAAUUAUGAGUUUGAUGUCCCUUUGAUAUAUUUCGUCACUAUUCAAGUAGUAAAAGGUUUAAAAAUUACAGAUCAGUGUAGCUAAAUGUAUCAUGAUAACGAGUUGGUUCUAUAUAUAUAUCACCGUGAGCAAAUUAAGUCAUUUUCGCGGAUAUUUGUCUUAUUGCGUUAAUCUUCUUCACUUUACUUUGAGGGGAUUUUUUGGCCGAUUUUCAUUACUGUAAGUUAAUGUCUUUAAAGUAAAAUAAUACCAAAAGGACAAUCAACAUCUCAAACUAUGAAUCAAAUAAAGUUAAUUAAAACCAUGAACAAAAUAAAAAAAGGAAAGUCCAAGAGACGAACAACAGUCCAAAAAAGACAGCAUACCAUGAAAACGAACACUCCUAAAACAGCGAAUGAUCUUAUGAGGUCAGGAUGGGUAUUUAACUUUUUCAUUUUGUUAUUUCACAACUGCUUUAUAGUGUUUUACAUACACAAUGACAUGAUUUUGUAUUUUUAAAGCUUAUGUAGAAAAUACUCAAAGCAUCUUUUAUUCAAAUAAUGAAAGCGAUUAAACUUCUAAACACAUUUAAUUUGACUUACUAUAACACGAUUUUAAACUAAACAAGAAGCAGGCGCAUUUUAUUUAGUUCGUUUACAUCCCGCUUCAAACAACCAAGUGUUUCUGAACAAGGUUACUUAUUUCAAUGUUGCCUACGAUUUAGUCGCAAAGUAAUGUUUGCAUUUAAACAUGAUUACAAAAAGUAAAAAAGUUUGACUUCGUCAAAAACAUAUUUUAACCUCAAUUACCUCGCACAUAUUCUUUUCUUACUUUAAAUACCCCUUCUUUUAUUAUGGAAAAUCAUUCUCCUCCCUGAUAUUCACAAUUAGCGAUGUGCUAUUUUAACAUAGAUUAACAAAAUGAUCGCUAUUUGCAGAUGGCAGAUUUUUGGGCAACUGCAAAUACUUCAAUAGAAGCUUGUUCCAUGAACAAUAAUAAAUAAUUGCAUCUUAAAAUUACAAAACAAAUAUUCCUUGACCUAAAACAUAUACAAUUAUCUAUUUUUUUAGCAUACAAAUAUCGAUUCCCCAAGAUAUAUUUUGCUUUUUGAAUAAUUUUUCAUUUUUUUUAGUAUUUGUGAUAAAUUUCAAUUUUUCGGGAAAGUUUUAGCAUCGAAUCUCUUAUUUUUUGUUUGAUUUGGAAAUUAUGUAUCAUGUUCCAUAAAGUUCAUAUGAUCUUUUGGAAAAUUUUAUGGUACAAGAAUUAGAAAAUGGCGUUUUAUUUAGUAAUCGCAAAAAUUGGAAUGUUUUUUUCAUGACCUUUGACCUUGAUUUAACAAAAAUUGCACCGUAUGAUUUUUUUACGACCGGGCAAAACAGAAAGUACAGAUUAACAGCUUUCGAAUGAUAUAUAAUACAGCCGUGUGUUAGGUGGGUGCAUUAAAGUCGUUAACUAAGCGUCUUUUUGAAAUAAGUCACUCGCCUAUAUUUGGAAUACCUUUUGACAUUAAUAAAAUGUUUUACUGGCUUUCUAUGCAAGUAGAAGCAAGAGAGAAAAAAUAUUAUGUCAUCUAUCAGAAGCCUGUGACAAAAACGGGGUCGGUUGAUACAAUUUUUUUUUUUUUUUUUUGAAGAUCCAAUAAAAAAGUUAGGGUCGGGGCUAAAAAACAGGGUCGGUCGGGUUACCGGAAACAUCGAUCUUUUUUUUCUCGGCCUCAUUAAAUUAAGGAUUAAACAAAGGGUAUGGCAAGCCGUUUUGCUAUUCAUUCAAACUUCAAGAUGUCUUAUAAACAUUAUAAGAUAUCUUAUAAAGUAUACAGUGUAUCUUAAAUGCCUGUACCAAGUCAGGAAUAUGAGAUAUAAAUAUCUUAUAAAGUAUAAAGUACAUGUACAUAGUAAAUGUCUGUACCAAGUCAGGAAUAUGACAGUUGAUGUCCAUUCGUUUGAUGUGUUUAAGCUUUUGAUUUUGCCAUUUGAUUAGGGAUUUUCUGUUUUGAAUUUUCCUCGGAGUUCAGUAUUUUGUGAUUUUACUUUUUUUAUAUAAAAUAUAUUUAAGAAAUAUUAUUAACUAUACAAGCUAUUUUUUAUAUUAUAUAAGAUAUAAAAAACAGAUUAAAUAAGAUAUCUAAUUUAUUAUAUAAGAUAUUAUAUAUAUUAUAUGAUAUCUUUUUAUAUUAUACAAUAUAUUUUAUAUAGAUUAUAAAAUAUCUUAUAAUGUUUAUAAUAAGAUAUCUAAUAUAGUUUUUAAGAUAUCUCAAAAAUUUUAUAAGAUAUUUGAUAUAGCAUGUAUAGUUUAUAAGAUAAAUAAAAUUGAGAAUGGAAAUGGGGAAUGUGACAAAGAGACAACAACCCGACCAAAUAAAAAACAACAACAGAGGGUCACCAACAGGUCUUCAAUGUAGCGAGAAAUUUCCGCACCCGGAGGCGUCCCUCAGCUGGCCCUAAACAAAUAUAUACUAGUCCAGUGAUAAUGAACGCCAUACUAAUUUCCAAAUUGUACACAAGAAACUAAAAUUAAAAUAAUACAAGACUUACAAAGGCCAGAGGCUCCUGACUUGGGACAGGCGCAAAAAUGCGGCGGGGUUAAACAUGUUUGUGAGAUCUCAACCCUCCCCCUAUACUCUAACCAAAAUGUAGAAAAGUAAACGCAUAACAAUACGCACAUUAAAAUUCAGUUCAAAAGAAGUCCGAGUCUGAUGUCAGAAGAUGUAACCAAAGAAAAUAAACAAAAUGACAAUAAUACAUAAAUAACAACAGACUACUAGCAGUUAACUGACAUGCCAGCUCCAGACUUCAAUUAAACUGACUGAAAGAUUAUGAUUUCAUCAUAUGAACAUCAGGCACAAUCCUUCCCGUUAGGGGUUUAGUAUCAUACCAUCAUAACAUAUAUGAGAAAAACAUAACCCGUGUCAUGCCAAUAACAGUUUUUAGAAUAAAUGUGUUUAGUUCCGAUGCAAAGACCUUAUCAGUGACUCAAUAUUAACGCCAAAAUAUGCAAUCUUUAAUGACUUGACAACAGUAUCGUAAUUAUAUCCCUUCUUAAUAAGUCUAUUCAAAGGUUUUGCUUAUAUAGUUUAUAAGAUAUCUAUUAUGAAUAAACUCAACCUUCUGCUGUUGUCUUCUCUAUGGUUGGGUUGUUGUCUCUUUGACACAUUCCCCAUUUCAAUUCUCAAUUUUAUCAUCAUAGAUAACAGUAUUGAAAUUUCGUAUUUACGCCAGAUGCGCGUUUCAUCCUUAAAAGACUCAUCAGUGACGCUCGAAUCAAAAAUAUUUUCUUAAUAAGAUAUCUUCUAAACUAUAUCAGAUAUCUUCUAAAUUACAUAAGAUUUAUUAUAAUCUAUGUAAUAAAAAAUAUUUAGAAGACAUCUCAUAUACUUGAUAAGAUAUCUUCUAAAGUAUAUAUGAUAUCUUAUAAAGUAUAUAUGAUAUCUUAUAAACUAUAUGAGAUACCUCAUAUAAUAUAUAAGAUAUCUUAUAAAAUGAAAUUAUAUUAGAUGUCUUAUAUCUUAUAUGUUAUAUGAAAUAUCUUGAAAUUGGAAUAAAUAGUAAAAGAGCUUGCCAUAAUAGAGUUAGAUUUAUCCACUGGAUGAACAGAAAAUAACCUGGGGUUUAACUUUAGGAAAAAAAACAAAUAAGGCAGACAUGAACAUGAUGAACCAAUGACAGUAAUGUUCAUUUACCGUUUACCAAUUUAAAUAUUCAACUGAAUUUUGCAUAUGAAUGUUUGGUUUUAGGAUGAUUCAACUCCAACCAGCAUCAUUAUUUAGGAUUAUAAAUCUUGUUUUUACUUUACAGUAUGUAGAGAAGUUCAGGACACGCUAAUUGUUUGAAGAGGAAAG